rnacentral:rRNA from 1 species
UGGCGAACGGGUGAGUAACGCGUGAGGAACCUGCCUCAAAGAGGGGGACAACAGUUGGAAAAGACUGCUAAUACCGCAUAAGCCCACGGGUCGGCAUCGACCUGAGGGAAAAGGAGCAAUCCGCUUUGAGAUGGCCUCGCGUCCGAUUAGCUAGUUGGUGAGGUAACGGCCCACCAAGGCGACGAUCGGUAGCCGGACUGAGAGGUUGAACGGCCACAUUGGGACUGAGACACGGCCCAG